GACUUAAAAUUACUACAAAAGUAAUGUACCUAUCUAUGGAAUGGAACUACAGAAGUACACUGAAGGAAGGCCUCCACAGCAAGGUGAUAAAUCUUUGAUUUUGACAUUUGCAAGUAGUCCUAAUAGCCACUGCAUCCUGAAUUGUAAUUAUGAGCCACCAAUAACAAAAAAUACUUCUGUGACAUGGAUCCCUAAUGUUCUCUCAGAUGGUGAUGAAUAAAGAAAGAAGAACCCAGGAGUAUAAAAAAAUACUUACAUACAUACCUACCAUUGUGGUGCUGUACAUACAUACAUAGUCACACCACCAUACCAGGAUGGACUGAGCCGUGCACUACCAAGAAGACCAACUGCAGCCUCUUGUGAUGGACAUAAUGACCAGAGUGGUGACAGAUAAGCAACCCAUCACAAAUAUAAAUAUUUCUUUUUUCUGUGCAAGUUUUGAUGUUAUAAAUAAAAUACAAUCAAAAAGUA